rnacentral:rRNA from 1 species
CCGAUUGAAUGGCUCAGUGAGGCCUUGGGACUGGCUCAGGAAGGUCGGCAACGACCAUCCAGAGCCGGAAACUUGGUCAAACUUGGUCAUUUAGAGGAAGUAAAAGUCGUAACAAGGUUU